UUAUUUGCACAGAGGUUGUACCAUGGCCAAUGAGGUAAAUCUGAGGCAUGGUUAUUGCUAGUUGAAAUUAUUAUUAUUAUUAUUAUUAUUAUUAUUAUUAAGCUGUCAGAAUCAUUGGCACACUGGACGAUGU